GACGAACGCUGGCGGCGUGCUUAACCCAUGCAAGUCGAGCGGUAAGGCCCUUUCGGGGGUACACGAGCGGCGAACGGGUGAGUAACACGUGGGUGACCUGCCCUCAGCUCUGGGAUAAGCCUGGGAAACUGGGUCUAAUACUGGAUAUGACUCCACGGUGCAUGUCGUGGGGUGGAAAGCCUUGUGCGGCUGAGGAUGGGCCCGCGGCCUAUCAGCUUGUUGGUGGGGUGAUGGCCUACCAAGGCGACGACGGGUAGCCGGCCUGAGAGGGCGACCGGCCACACUGGGACUGAGACACGGCCCAGACUCCUACGGGAGGCAGCAGUGGGGAAUCUUGCGCAAUGGGCGAAAGCCUGACGCAGCGACGCCGCGUGAGGGAUGACGGCCUCGG
rnacentral:rRNA from 1 species